rnacentral:rRNA from 1 species
GACAAACGCUGGCGGCGUGCCUAACACAUGCAAGUCGAGCGUGAAAGGGGCUUCGGCCCUGAGUAAAGCGGCGAACGGGUGAGUAACACGUGGGCAACCUGCCUCAAGGACUGGGAUAACUCCGGGAAACCGGGGCUAAUACCGGACGAUGUCUACCGGCGCAAGCCGGUCGACCAAAUGGUAGCUUCGGCCUCCGGCCUUGAGAUGGGCCCGCGUCCUAUCAGCUUGUUGGUGAGGUAACGGCUCACCAAGGCUACGACGGGUAGCUGGUCUGAGAGGAUGAUCAGCCACACUGGGACUGAGAUACGGCCCAGACACCUACGGUGGCAG